UGUGCAACAUCACUACUGCUCCAGUCUCU
rnacentral:piRNA from 1 species